rnacentral:misc_RNA from 1 species
UGGUUCUGGCAUCGAUGAAGAACGCAGCGAAAUGCGAUACGUAAUGUGAAUUGCAGAACUCAGCGAAUCAUCGAAUCUUUGAACGCACAUUGCGCCCGCCGGCAUUCCGGCGGGCAUGCCUGUUCGAGCGUCAUUACAACCCUCGCGCCCCGCGCGGUGAUGGGGACCCGCGGCUGCCGCGGGCCCUGAAAACCAGUGGCGGCCGCGCCUGGACCCGCAGCGUAGUACUUUUGCAACCGCUCGCGGGGCCCGGUGCGUGCCGGCCGUGAAAAAAUACUCCAAAGGUUGACCUCGGAUCAGGUAGGAAUACCCGCUGA